CCGAGUUAGGGUCUCCUGUAGGCCCGACCUCCCAACCCUUUGUCUACAUUACCACUUGUUGCUUCGGCGGGCCCGUCUUCACGGACCGCCGGAGGACCGUCAAAACGUCCUCUGGCCCGCGCCCGUCGGUAGCCCCCAACCACAAACUCUUGAACAAAACGUGUCAUUAUCUGAGUACAAUUGUUAAUAAAGCAA
rnacentral:misc_RNA from 1 species